CUUAAAUGACGUAUUAAAACCAUCGAGCCAAACAGUUUUUUGUUAGCUUCAGUGUAAGUACAAAGUGUACCGAAUGUUAAUUUGAUCAGCUAAUUUUUAUCUGAGGAUUAUAUCUUUCAAACACAGUCCAGUUUACACUUUGUAAAGAUAUGUCAGAUCCAGAAAAAAGGAAGGGGGAGCCUAUCCCAUUAAAUUCAAUUAAAGAUGAAAAAAGUAGGGCAUUGGUGAAGGAUCCUUACAAACGGCAGAGAAAAACACAGCCACCUGAGGCGUCACACAAACGACAAAAAACAGAAACGGAGCAAGGAGAACCUG